rnacentral:rRNA from 1 species
AUGGCCAUGUUGUUGAGGAAUGGAAAAUGGGAAGUCUCGAUUUUUGAGGAGCAACAUACACACCCAAUGAUGAGUAGGGAAGAAUGGACGAGGUUCUAUAGAUCUCAUAGGAAGGUGCCAUAUGAGGACUACAUGUUUCUCAAGACACUGCAUAAUCGGAACAUACCAACCGCAUUGAUCAUGGCUACACUUGGAGACUUGCAUGGGAAACUAGGCAACCUACCGUACACUGACAGAGAUGUUGCAAACAUUUGAACUAAGAUGAGAAAUGAUGUGUCUUUAAAUGAUACGGCGAAAACGAUGGAGUAUUUUGAGAAGCUUCAUGCAGAGAGUCCCCUGUUCUAUUAUGCGAAGCUGGAAGAUGAGAACAAAGCAGUGAGGGCACUAUUCUGGGUG